rnacentral:rRNA from 1 species
UUUGGUUAAGUUAGAAAGGGCGCACGGUGGAUGCCUUGACACUAGGAGUCGAUGAAGGACGGGACUAACGCCGAUAUGCUUCGGGGAGCUGUAAGUAAGCUUUGAUCCGAAGAUUUCCGAAUGGGGAAACCCACCAUACGUAAUGGUAUGGUAUCCUUAUCUGAAUACAUAGGGUAAGGAAGACAGACCCAGGGAACUGAAACAUCUAAGUACCUGGAGGAAGAGAAAGCAAAUGCGAUUUCCUGAGUAGCGGCGAGCGAAACGGAACAUAGCCCAAACCAAGAGGCUUGUCUCUUGGGGUUGUAGGACAUUCUAUACGGAGUUACAAAGGAACGAGGUAGACGAAGCGACCUGGAAAGGUCCGUCGUAGAGGGUAACAACCCCGUAGUCGAAACUUCGUUCUCUCUUGAAUGUAUCCUGAGUACGGCGGAACACGUGAAAUUCCGUCGGAAUCUGGGAGGACCAUCUCCCAAGGCUAAAUACUCCCUAGUGAUCGAUAGUGAACCAGUACCGUGAGGGAAAGGUGAAAAGCACCCCGGAAGGGGAGUGAAAGAGAUCCUGAAACCGUGUGCCUACAAAUAGUCAGAGCCCGUUAACGGGUGAUGGCGUGCCUUUUGUAGAAUGAACCGGCGAGUUACGAUCCCGUGCGAGGUUAAGCUGAAGAGGCGGAGCCGCAGCGAAAGCGAGUCUGAAUAGGGCGUUUAGUACGUGGUCGUAGACCCGAAACCAGGUGAUCUACCCAUGUCCAGGGUGAAGUUCAGGUAACACUGAAUGGAGGCCCGAACCCACGCACGUUGAAAAGUGCGGGGAUGAGGUGUGGGUAGCGGAGAAAUUCCAAUCGAACCUGGAGAUAGCUGGUUCUCCCCGAAAUAGCUUUAGGGCUAGCCUUAAGUGUAAGAGUCUUGGAGGUAGAGCACUGAUUGGACUAGGGGUCCUCAUCGGAUUACCGAAUUCAGUCAAACUCCGAAUGCCAAUGACUUAUCCUUAGGAGUCAGACUGCGAGUGAUAAGAUCCGUAGUCAAAAGGGAAACAGCCCAGACCGCCAGCUAAGGUCCCAAAGUGUGUAUUAAGUGGAAAAGGAUGUGGAGUUGCUUAGACAACUAGGAUGUUGGCUUAGAAGCAGCCACCAUUUAAAGAGUGCGUAAUAGCUCACUAGUCGAGUGACUCUGCGCCGAAAAUGUACCGGGGCUAAAUACACCACCGAAGCUGCGGAUUGAUACCGAAUGGUAUCAGUGGUAGGGGAGCGUUCUAAGGACAGUGAAGUCAGACCGGAAGGACUGGUGGAGUGCUUAGAAGUGAGAAUGCCGGUAUGAGUAGCGAAAGACGGGUGAGAAUCCCGUCCACCGAAUGCCUAAGGUUUCCUGAGGAAGGCUCGUCCGCUCAGGGUUAGUCAGGACCUAAGCCGAGGCCGACAGGCGUAGGCGAUGGACAACAGGUUGAUAUUCCUGUACCACCUCUUUAUCGUUUGAGCAAUGGAGGGACGCAGAAGGAUAGAAGAAGCGUGCGAUUGGUUGUGCACGUCCAAGCAGUUAGGCUGAUAAGUAGGCAAAUCCGCUUAUCGUAAAGGCUGAGCUGUGAUGGGGAAGCUCCUUAUGGAGCGAAGUCUUUGAUUCCCCGCUGCCAAGAAAAGCUUCUAGCGAGAUAAAAGGUGCCUGUACCGCAAACCGACACAGGUAGGCGAGGAGAGAAUCCUAAGGUGUGCGAGAGAACUCUGGUUAAGGAACUCGGCAAAAUGACCCCGUAACUUCGGGAGAAGGGGUGCUUUCUUAACGGAAAGCCGCAGUGAAUAGGCCCAAGCGACUGUUUAGCAAAAACACAGCUCUCUGCGAAGCCGUAAGGCGAAGUAUAGGGGGUGACACCUGCCCGGUGCUGGAAGGUUAAGGAGAGGGGUUAGCGUAAGCGAAGCUCUGAACUGAAGCCCCAGUAAACGGCGGCCGUAACUAUAACGGUCCUAAGGUAGCGAAAUUCCUUGUCGGGUAAGUUCCGACCCGCACGAAAGGUGUAACGAUUUGGGCACUGUCUCAACCAGAGACUCGGUGAAAUUAUAGUACCUGUGAAGAUGCAGGUUACCCGCGACAGGACGGAAAGACCCCGUGGAGCUUUACUGUAGCCUGAUAUUGAAUUUUGGUACAGUUUGUACAGGAUAGGCGGGAGCCUUUGAAACCGGAGCGCUAGCUUCGGUGGAGGCGCUGGUGGGAUACCGCCCUGACUGUAUUGAAAUUCUAACCUACGGGUCUUAUCGACCCGGGUGACAGUGUCAGGUGGGCAGUUUGACUGGGGCGGUCGCCUCCUAAAGUGUAACGGAGGCGCCCAAAGGUUCCCUCAGAAUGGUUGGAAAUCAUUCGUAGAGUGCAAAGGCAUAAGGGAGCUUGACUGCGAGACCUACAAGUCGAGCAGGGACGAAAGUCGGGCUUAGUGAUCCGGUGGUUCCGCAUGGAAGGGCCAUCGCUCAACGGAUAAAAGCUACCCCGGGGAUAACAGGCUUAUCUCCCCCAAGAGUCCACAUCGACGGGGAGGUUUGGCACCUCGAUGUCGGCUCAUCGCAUCCUGGGGCUGUAGUCGGUCCCAAGGGUUGGGCUGUUCGCCCAUUAAAGCGGUACGCGAGCUGGGUUCAGAACGUCGUGAGACAGUUCGGUCCCUAUCCGUCGUGGGCGUAGGAAAUUUGAGAGGAGCUGUCCUUAGUACGAGAGGACCGGGAUGGACGCACCGCUGGUGUACCAGUUGUUCUGCCAAGGGCAUAGCUGGGUAGCUAUGUGCGGAAGGGAUAAGUGCUGAAAGCAUCUAAGCAUGAAGCCCCCCUCAAGAUGAGAUUUCCCAUAGCGUAAGCUAGUAAGAUCCCUGAAAGAUGAUCAGGUUGAUAGGUUCGAGGUGGAAGCAUGGUGACAUGUGGAGCUGACGAAUACUAAUAGAUCGAGGACUUAACCAUAUAA